AGCCCAUGGUGAGGACACCUUUUCAAUAAAUCUUUAAAUCUUUUCAAUUUGUCAUAAAGGGUCUUAAUAUCAAGUUGAACAAAAGGAGAGAUGCCAUUCCUCAACUU
rfam:Gossypium hirsutum cultivar TM-1 chromosome 15, whole genome shotgun sequence